rnacentral:rRNA from 1 species
UCAUAUGCUUGUCUCAAAGAUUAAGCCAUGCAUGUCUAAGUACAGGCCCUAGCAAGGCGAAACCGCGAAUGGCUCAUUAAAUCAGUUAUGGUUCCUUAGAUCGUACAUGUUUACUUGGAUAACUGUGGUAAUUCUAGAGCUAAUACAUGCAGCAGAGCCCCGAAAUCUUUCKAGACUAGGGGUGCUUUUAUUAGACCAAGACCAAACGGCCCUCGGGUCGACAGUCGUGGUGACUCUGGAUAACUAUGGCAGAUCGCACGGGCUCGCCCCGGCGACGCAUCUUUCAAGUGUCUGCCUUAUCAACUUUCGAUGGUAGGUUAUGUGCCUACCAUGGUUGUUACGGGUAACGGGGAAUCAGGGUUCGAUUCCGGAGAGGGAGCCUGAGAAACGGCUACCACAUCCAAGGAAGGCAGCAGGCGCGCAAAUUACCCACUCCCGGCACGGGGAGGUAGUGACGAUAAAUAACAAUACGGGACUCUAUCGAGGCCCCGUAAUUGGAAUGAGUACACUCUAAACCUUUUAACGAGGAUCUAUUGGAGGGCAAGUCUGGUGCCAGCAGCUGCGGUAACUCCAGCUCCAAUAGCGUAUAUUAAAGUUGUUGCGGUUAAAAAGCUCGUAGUUGGAUCUCAGUCGCGCCCCUGCGAUCCGCCGCAAGGCGGUCAUUGUAGGGGCCGGCAUACAGCUGGUCGUCCCGACUGGCCUUUACUGGUUGGCCGGGUUGUCCGGCACUUUUACUUUGAAAAAAUUAGAGUGCUCAAAGCAGGCUUGACGCCUGAAUAAUGGUGCAUGGAAUAAUGGAAUAGGACCUCGGUUCUAUUUUGUUGGUUUUCGGAACCCGAGGUAAUGAUUAAGAGGGACAGACGGGGGCAUUUGUAUUGCGACGCUAGAGGUGAAAUUCUUGGACCGUCGCAAGACAAACUACUGCGAAAGCAUUUGCCAAGAAUGUUUUCAUUAAUCAAGAACGAAAGUUA